UACAGAGGGGGCCAGCGUUAUUCGGAAUUAUUGGGCGUAAAGGGCGCGUAGGCGGCUUUGCGUGUCUUUCGUGAAAUCCCUCGGCUCAACUGAGGACGUGCGGAAGAAACUGCAGGGCUGGAGUCCGGGAGAGGAGGGUGGAAUUCCCAAUGUAGCGGUGAAAUGCGUAGAUAUUGGGAGGAACACCGGUGGCGAAGGCGGCCCUCUGGACCGGUAUUGACGCUGAGGUGCGAAAGCGUGGGGAGCAAACAGG
rnacentral:rRNA from 1 species